CAUAGUUAAAAUGAAUGGCUUAAUUACUAAAUUAGUCCUUGAGGUUUUGAUAUAAAAUUGUUCAAGUCCCUAAUAUUUGAAAUAUUUCAAUCAAAUCCCUAAUGUUAUGGAUUGAUCCUAUUUUAGUCGUUACCAUCACCAUUCCAUUGGUAAUCAAAUGAAACUACAUAGAUAGCUUUGGAUGUGACUUAUAAAUCCAAGACGUGGCAUAGAGAGUCAAUUGAGAGGGAAUGUGUCAUGUCAUUAGGUUGUUGGAGACCAAAUUUCUACCAAAACG
rnacentral:lncRNA from 1 species